UAUGUACAUUACUACAACGUUAAUGCACUAGAUCCCAUAAGAAUUUUGCAGUUAAGCAUGCUUGGGAUAGAGUAUUAUUGGAAUGAGUGACCUCUCAAGAAGUCCUAGUGUUUUACAUGC
rfam:Picea glauca, whole genome shotgun sequence.